ACUAUAACGCUAGCUCAACUAUUAAAACAUCCUACAAUACUACAAACUAAAACAUUCAAUAUUUUAGUAUAGGCGAUAGAAAUAAUAAUUUGAAGCAAUAGAUAAAGUACCGUAAGGGAACGCUGAAAAAGAAUUUAAAUAAACCUUAAAAGUAUUAAAAAGCAAGAAUUAACCCCUGUACCUUUUGCAUUAUGAUCUAACUAGCAAACAUGAGGCAAAAAGAAUUUAAGUCUCCCAUCCCGAAACUAGACGAGCUAUUUAAAAGCAACCUAACAUUAGGGUAAAUCCGUCUCUGUGGCAAAAGAGUGGAAAGAUUUUUAAAUAGUGAUGAUAUAUCAAACGAGUUUAGUGAUAGCUGGUUACUCAAGAAACGAGUUUUAGCUCCUCCUUAAGUCUUAUUUUAAUAUUAUCUAAAUAAUAAUAAAAACUUAAGAGCAAUUCAAAAGGGGUACAGCCCUUAUGAAAAAGGAUACAACCUAAAACAAUGGGUAAUGAUUAAAAUUAUUUAAGACUUUGACUUAAGUAAGCCUAAAAGCAGCUACCUAUUAAUGAAAGCGUCACAGCUCAAACCAACAAUAUAACCAACAAUCCAAAUACUAACUCAAAACCCAUUAAACAUAAUGAGUACGCCUAUAUUAACUAUAUAGCCGAAUUAAUGUUAGAACUAGUAAUAAGAAACUACAAUUUUCUCUAAAACAUCUGUAUAAAUCAGCUCGAACCACUCACUGAUAACUAACAACCAAAUAAUUCUAUUAAAAAAUCACACUAGACACCCAAUUUAUUUACUACACCGUUAACCCAACACAGGAAUGUUUUCAAGAAAGACAUAAAAGUAAAGAAGGAACUCGGCAACUAUUGAGCUUCGCCUGUUUACCAAAAACAUCACCUCUAGCAAACCUAAACAUGUAUUAGAGGCACUGCCUGCCCACUGAUUUUAUUCAACGGCCGCGGUAUUCUGACCGUGCAAAGGUAGCAUAAUCACUUGUCUUUUAAAUAAAGACUAGUAUGAACGGCGUCACGAAAGCCUAACUGUCUCCUUUAUUUAGUCAAUGAAACUGAUCUUCACGUACAAAAGCGUGAAUAUUAAAAUAAGACGAGAAGACCCUAUGGAACUUAAAACACGCAGCCAUUUUAAUCUAACACAACAGCAAUAAUACACCUGGAUUUCGCUGUUUUUGGUUGGGGCGACCACGGAGUAAAAUACAACCUCCGAGAACAUCUACUAAGAUUAACAAAACAACGUACCAAAACUUUAGCCUUUAAGACCCAAUAAACUUGAUCAUCGAACCAAGCUACCCUAGGGAUAACAGCGCAAUCUUCUUUCAGAGCCCUUAUCACCAAGAAGGUUUACGACCUCGAUGUUGGAUCAGGAUGCCCAGACAGUGCAGCCGCCGUCAAAGGUUUGUUUGUUCAACAAUUAAUAAUCCUACGUGAUCUGAGUUCAGACCGGAGCAAUCCAGGUCAGUUUCUAUCUAUUAAAUUAUUCCAUUUAGUACGAAAGGACCAAUGAAAUAGGACCAAUAUAAAAUACACGUCCUCUAGAAAAUUAUGAAAUCAACUAAAUACCAUACUACCACCAUACCCCUACAACAGGGGUUU
rnacentral:rRNA from 1 species